rnacentral:lncRNA from 1 species
UUGAAAAUUUCAGAAACUUCUUUUUCAAUGCUGUAGAAAAUGACAUUUUAAAGAACAACAACAACAACAAUAACAGCAACAACCAAAAAGUCAUUUUAUGUGAUGUGCAGGCAUGGCUGUGACUGGAACUGGGACCUGAAUGAUUUUGAUUCAUUGCUCUCCAGGUGUUGGGGAGCCCUAUAGGAACACUUUGGAGGACAGUGCAAAAGCUAAGGCAGUAUUAUCCUUGCUGACAAAUCAAACUUCAAAAAGACAAACUGUUCUCUAUAGCACAAGGGUCAUUGGUUUGUACUGAGUCAUCAUUGCAGAGGCAGGAGACAGCUGGUGGCACUGGGAAAUAACCAAUUCCUUUAACAACUGGCUGAUGUGUGUUUAGCUUGGCGUGCAUCUAUAUACACAUAAGUAUACACUGCAGUAUUUUAAAAUCUGUGUAUGUCUCUGUUGUCUGUGCUUAUUACUGUCAUCUUGUGAAAUCAGUCCUUUCAUGAAAUAAUUAGAGGUUUCAAGCAUUUUUGCCAACUGACUGGCAUUACAGGUGUUCUGGAUCAUAUGCCUGUUUCACUUGGUUUCAUAAACUGACAGAAGGUGAAUCCUGGCAUUAUCCAUGUGCUUUCACACUGUGGUUAUGUGGGAAAUAACAUCUGUAGCCACUUCUUACUACUCAGGGAAUUAAUAAACAACAGUGGUGAUAUGGACCAAAGGAGCAGUCAUGCAUUUCUCAGUCCUCUGGAAAUUCCCUAGCCAUGGGACCACAUGCCCUUUUGUUGACUCUCCUUCUGGGAACUUCUUUACACUGAAAGUAUCUCCAGGGCCUGUUGCUGGAUCCACACCUGUUCUCCUUCCACUCCUAUUGCAAAUAGAUUUUCCCUCAUUUUGACAGGCAGUGAGUACUGUGUAUUAAUAGCAGCUCUCUUCAGAGGUUUUGCAGGUGGGAUGGGCCAUGGUCUCCAUCUGAUCCAGGUGCUCAUUGAUGGAGUCCAGCACACCAUCAGCUGCUCUCCUGGGCUGCUCAUUCCUGAGCUGCUGACAGGAAGCCUUUCCUUAGCAGGUGAGUGUGG